rnacentral:rRNA from 1 species
UACAGAGGGUGCGAGCGUUAAUCGGAAUUACUGGGCGUAAAGCGUGCGUAGACGGUCAUGUAAGUCGGAUGUGAAAGCCCCGGGCUCAACCUGGGAAUUGCAUUCGAGACUGCAAGGCUUGGGUGCGGAAGAGGGAAGCGGAAUUUCCGGUGUAGCGGUGAAAUGCGUAGAUAUUGGGAGGAACACCAGUGGCGAAGGCGGCUCACUGGACCGGUACUGACGCUGAAGCGCGAAAGCGUGGGGAGCAAACGGG